UCCUUGGCGGGUUCUCUCUGGCCCAGGUGGGGGCCCUGGGGAAGGGGCCUGGGGACACAGGCCUGGGAGCGAGGCUUUUGUCUGUGGGCAGGAAGUAAGUGUGCGGUGCAGAGCAGUGGGGAGCCCCAGGGAAGGGGGAGCGGAAGUCGGACGCUCCAGUGUCACAGUCACCACUGCUCACCACUCUCAGGCAGACACACUGCAGUGACUGCUCCUGGGGAGCCCGGUCACCCAGCCUUUCCUGGGUCCUGUGCAGGUGCCUGCUCUUCCUGCGGAAGACUGCACUUCUUCACUCCAGCCUGUGUCUGUCUGACUGCCACCUGCGUGUCAUUUUUGGCUUGCCACUGAUUUUAUGCUGUUUUGAGGCUGCCAACUGCCUCCAUCCCUCCAAUCCAGAUCCCCAAGAGGAGGUCCGAUUCAGCCAGUCCAUCAUUCUCAGUAAGCCACUUGGGCCACCUUCAGCCCACAGGCAAGCAGGCAGCUGAGAUGGUGGGGUCAGAGGGUACACAUGGUGCACCCUCCCUCCCCUCUGCAGGGCUGUAGAGGACAGUGUUCCCCAGCAGGGGCCAUGGAUGUGGCAGGGACUCCCAAACUCGUCUGACACACUGGACGUGAGCUCCCAGGGAUGGCAUCCCUUUGCUGACCUGCAUUUGCUUUGGGCACUUCCAGGGCACAGUGGAUUCCGGUUGCCCUCUGGCCAGCACACCCCCUGACCCACACCAUGGGAUUCUGAAGGCGGAUGCUCCUGGGCCCCCACAUCCUAUACUCUGUGGAUGAUGGGUGACGACAGACUGUCUGAACACCCCAAACCUAUGGGACUUCUUAACAUCUGUUUAAGAGAUGACCUGCAGCCCUCUCUGGGAGUGCACCCAAGGGGGAUGCCUGAACCUUCUUGGGAACACACCUGGGCGUCUGCCCCCCCUGAUCCCACGAGGCCAGGCACCCCUCCCAGGGGCUCCAGUGCAGAGCCCAUGGGCCUGGUGGCCGGCCCGUCCCAGGGGGACCCGAGGCAGAGCCAGGGCACGUCCACACAGGUGGUAUUCUGGGCGGGCAUCCUGCAGGCCCAGAUGUGUGUCCUGGACCUGGAGGAAGAGCUGGAAAAGACCGAGGGGCUCAGGGCAGGGCUGAGGUCCUGCCUCCCCGUGGCCCCUGCGGACCUGUGCCCCUUUUCCUGCAGCCCCACAAGCCCUCAGGACUUGGACCUGUGUCCUGGCCCACCUGUGGAGGAGGCCUCAGGGGAGGACAGCAGCGGGCCUGAGGGUGAGGAUCAGGACCUAGUGUGGCCAGGCGAGGGGACGGUAGGCUCCUCCCUGGAGUGGGAUGCAGAGGAGGAGAGUGUGUUCUUUGACAACCCCCUCUUCCUGGAGAGCCCCUGCUCAGACUCUGCUCUUGGGGCCCGCUUCUCCUGGGGGCCUCCAGACACCUGCAUGGCCAUGAGACCUGACAGCCCACACACCCUGGAGCCUCCUGUCCUGGUCCCGGGAAGUGGGGCGCCAUGGUGGCUGGGCGAAGACCCGGAUGGUGGGGACAGCAUGGCUGACUCCAGUGGGCACACCACACCUCCAUUCCCUGUGCCCACCUACAAAUCACACUCCUGGGACAUGGUAGACACCACUGACCAGGCUCCCACAGCACCUCCUGGCCGGAGGAACAGUGAGACUACUCUGGCAGAUGGUCUUGACCCUGCAGCAUCCCAUGUGGACAAAGCAUCGACCUGGGAAAAGGGACCUGUUGGAUCUGACCCUGGCCCUGCCACCCAUCAUGUGCAACCUUGGCAGGCCCUGCCCAGUGCUGAGGACUGGCAUACAGGACAGGGUCCUUCCUGGCCCCAGGUGCCUCUCAUCUCCCAGGACAGAGGUGACAGACAUGCUGAGUGUCCCCAGGAGCCUGCUCCUUGCACCUCAGCCCCUGACCCCUGGGGAGGCCCAGCCCCUUCUUCAGAGCCUAGCAGCCCUGAGUCUGAGAGCAGAGGCCUCAGCUACAGGCCCAGCCCCAAGUCUUCCCCGGAAGGCAGCCCGCGGCCCUGGGGCCAGCAGGCCGGCGGCAUUCUGCCCAGGUGGACACCAGAUGCUCCCUGCCUGUCAUUCCUGGAAACAGGUGGGGCAGAGCCUAGUUCCCUGGAGAGAGCAGCUCCAGAGCCUGGGGAGGACGUGAAGAGUGAGGGGGCCAGGCAGCCUGAUGUGCACCGGACCUCCACAGAAGGGCUUCCUGAGAGCCCCAUGCCCCAAGUGCAGCCCCCAGAGGAAGGCCAGAGGCCACAGGCUGGAGACAAGCUGGCUAAUGGCAUUGGGACCGACAAGCUGGCCUGGGACCUGGCCUCUCGCCUAUAUCGCCUAGAGGGCUUCCAGAAGUCCGAAGUGGCUGCCCACCUGCGGAAGAAUGAUGACCUCAGCAGGACUGUGGCUCAAGAGUACCUGUCCUUCUUCCAGUUUGGAGGCCAGAGCCUGGACCACGCCCUCCGGGGCUUCCUCCAGGCCCUGGUGCUCAGUGGGGAGACUCAGGAGCGAGAGCGAGUCCUGUACCAGUUCUCCAGACGCUUCCACCACUGCAACCCUGGGCUUUUCUCCUCAGUAGACUCGGUCCACACCUUGACUUGUGCCAUCAUGCUCCUGAACACUGACCUACAUGGACAGAACAUCGGGAAGAGCAUGAGCUGCCAGGAAUUCAUCAGCAACCUGAAUGGGCUGCAGGAUGGUGGAAACUUCCCCAAGGAGCUGCUGAAGGGCCUGUACUGGUCUAUCCGAAGUGAGAAGCUGGAGUGGGCAGUGGAUGAAGAAGACGCAGCCAGACCCGAGAAGGUCCGGCCGAGUCCCCCAGCUGGCACGAUGAGCAACCCCUUCCUCCAGCUGGCCCACGACCCCACUGUGCCCACGUACAAGCAGGGCAUCUUGGCUCGAAAGAUGCAUCAUGACGCGGAUGGCAAGAAGACGCCAUGGGGCAAGCGCGGCUGGAAGAUGUUCCACACCUUGCUUCGAGGAAUGGUCCUCUACUUCCUGAAGGGAGAGGACCAGGGCCCUGAGGGGCAGAUGGUGGACGAACCUGUGGGGGUACACCACUCACUGGCCACACCAGCCACCUACUACACCAAGAAGCCGCAUGUCUUCCAGCUGCGGACUGCCGACUGGCGUCUCUACCUCUUCCAGGCACCCACUGCCAAGGAGAUGACUUCCUGGAUCGCACGCAUCAACCUGGCCGCUGCCACGCACUCAGCGCCUCCCUUCCCCGCCGCCGUAGGCUCCCAGCGCAGAUUUGUGCGGCCUAUCCUGCCCGCGGGCCCGACCCGGAGCUCCCUGGAGGAGCAGCAUCGAUCCCAUGAGAACUCCCUGGACGCCGCCUCUGAUGACCUGCUGGAUUUGCAGAGGAACUUCCCAGAGCGGCGGGGCCGCAGCCGCGAGCUAGAGGAGUACCGCCUGCGGAAGGAGUACCUGGAGCACGAGAAAACCCGCUACGAGAUGUAUGUGCAGCUGCUGGUGGCCCGUCUGCACUGUCCCUCAGAUGACCUAGAACUGUGGGAGGAGCAGCAGGGGAGGGAAGCCAGAGGCAUGCAGGAACCCAAACCCAGCCUGAAGAAGUCCCACUCCAGCCCAUCUCUGCAACAAGACGAGGCCCCCACCACUGCCAAGGUGAAGCGCAACAUCUCAGAGCGUCGGACCUACCGGAAGAUCAUCCCCAAGAGGAACCGCUAUCAGCUGUGAAGCAGUCACUGCACAGACUGGCUCUGCUCUGGGGCACACCUGGGAUGAACCCUGUGGGGAGCCCAUCAGGGGCCCACGGUGGAGGUCUCAGCAUCUCUGCUUCGGCUGGCUUUGUGCCGAUAACAUCAUUUGUCUGUGGUUUGCCAGGCAGGAGGGAAGAGUAACCGGUCACUAAGGCCCAGGCCUGGGUGCAUCCUCAAGACCCAGACUCAGAUGCAGACAACAGGCACAGGGUCAGGAGGUACAUGCACAGAGAAUUGAGGACUCCCUCGUCCAGCAAAUGAGUCAGGCCAGUAGCCGGACAGCACUUUCACCUGGCCACUGAGACUCAAGGCCCAUGUGCAGUCCCCUCGCUCUGUCACCUCGGUCCUGAGGCUCUGUUUCCUAUUUGUAUUUCGCUGAUUUACUGCAUUCCCUGUGAGCUAUCUCAAAACCCCCAUGAAACAAGGUGAGGAAUGCAUUAAUAUUUAAAAUAAGAUAAACAGAAUGUCAAUGUGUGUGCCCUAGGCAGGACAUUCCUGAAGGGCAAGGACCAUGUCUGUUUGUACAGCAUCUGGCAUAGUGUCACACUGAGGCUUACCAAAUGAAUUCUGAUGAAGAUGAGAAAGGAGCUGGCUGCAUGAAGAUACAGAGGUGUGGACCUCCAGCUGGGCCUCAUCCAAAUCCCUGAGCAAGGGCCACCCUUCCCCCACCUUACCCUGUCCUGCGUACACUGCCCAGGACCAUGACCAACCAUGGCCUUACCUGCACUGCUCUCUCACAUACCCCUUCCCCCCACAAGCACCCACAGCCACACUCACUCACGCUUCAUCCAAAACACCCACUGCCCGGCCACCAGGCCCGUCUGAGGCCCGGCAGCAGCACGUGGUACCAGGAAAUGCCAGUGGCUGAGCCCUUGGAGGUGUCCCCAGGCAUGUCUUGGCGCCAUGGGGGCCUCCAGCCAGGCGGGGACCUGACAGGGAGGGAGAGGAGAAGCUGCUGCAGAACUCCAGAUGCGGCAGUUAAAAGGAGGACAGAGGCAAUGAUCCUUCAAAUUGCCACAUCUGUAUAAUCUGCCUUUUAUUUUCUGCUUCAUGAAGUUUUAUUUCCUAUUAUUUAUUCACCUCCCCGCCCUCCCCUCCUCCACCACCUCAUUCCUCAGCAGGCGACAUGCUCAGAUGGGCCCUGAGCCCUGGCCUGGGUGGGCCACCCCCAUCCCACCCUUACUUUACCACCCUCACUCCCCAUCCAGCUGGCUGCCUGAGAAGGCAUCUGCUCCCCUCCACCCCUACAGGCCUUCCUUCCUCCCUCCAAGUUGAACUGGAGGAAACAUAGGUGGGCGAGGGGUCAUUGCAGGGAAGGCCUGUCCCCAAAGCCCCACCACUGUCACCACCCCUGAGCCGGAGCUUAUUGGGAGGAAGAGGCAAGAACUAGGAUUCAGCCUCUUCCCCACCCUCUCUACCCAGGACCCUCCUCUCUUCCUUCCAGCUCCUUAGACCUGUGGUCAGGGAGCAGGGCUGGCCCCAUCCUGGUGAGGGCGCUGCUGAGAUGGGAGAAGGCAGAGCAGGCAACAUCACGCAGGGAGGGGCAGCUUCUGGUCUGGUUAGAGGCCCGACUCCCUCAUCCCCACCCACUGUCGAAACAAUGAGCAGUUCUGAGGAAGGCCAGGCCCUCAGGUGUCGGCUCCUGUCUGAUUGCCCAGGCUGGAGGGAGUGGAAAAGGAUGCACACAUUUUGUGUCUUCUUGCCUAGAACACUCCUCAUGGCUCCCUGGGACACAGAAACACAGGAGAAAAGCCCUUUCCGAGGAAGCGGGUCCGACUUCAGGCCCCAGGUUUAGGGUCUGCAGUUGGUCCCCAGUGGCUGCUUCAUGGAGGAGACAGAGGGCAGACAAAGGUCUAUGAGGUGUGAGGGCUUUACACACAGCACAGGACCACCGACAGCACUUACUGUGCCCAUCAUGGCUUUCCCACCUAGCUCUGCAAGUGACUUUUAUGAAAGCCUCACAUCUAAGCUCUGCUGGUUUUUAUUUUUUGUUUUGUUUUUUUGUGGGGAGUGUGAUCCAACUGGAUUCACCUUGUUAUCUCCUAGGUGCCAGUCAAAGGGUCUGGCACAUAGUAGGUGGUACAUGAAAGACUUUCAAAUGAAUGAGUGUGACGUCUCGUGCCCAGCCUAUAUUGACUGUGGCCAGUGAGCCCCGGGUCUGCCCCAGCCUGGCCGCCUUUGGACACCUGCUGUAGCUCAGUGAGCUGAAGCAGGACCCCAGGGUCCCUACGGCACCCCAGGGACUGAUGCCAAAUGUGAGAAUGUGGUUUUUGCCUGUGGUGUUUAGUGGAAAAUUACCUGGGGCGUUGGAAGGAAGAGGGCUUCAUGCCUGACCCAGCCAGAUGAGGCUGCUUUGGCUUUCACUGACCCAGGUGACUGUGGGAUCAGUGUUAGGACUGCAUGUCAUCCUGGCCUGAGCCAGGUAUUUCACAGCUGAGGAAACUCAGGGCCCCCAGGAGUCGUCAGUGGGGAGGCAACACCCCAGAACCAGGCUCUUUAACAGAGGCGCAGGGGAUAAGGGUGAUGACUUAAUGACUAGGGCUGGUUAUGAUGGCAAUAGCUAACAGGCUCCAGUGACCCCCACAGCUCAGCCCCUGGAGUGGCUGGCGGACCAGCCCCCACUCAUCCCGUAAGGCCUGGCUGCUACUUCCCUUUGUGCCUUUCUCUUUUUCCCUUUGGUAGGAGAUGAGUUUCCAUUCAGACAGAGCUCAUCCCUUACAGACAGUUUCUUUCCUGCUGCAGUGAGGUCCCUGGGGUGGUUGGUAGAUUGGGGUACAUGUGGAGGAACCAAUGCAGCCCCCAGGAGGCAGAGAGCAUGAAAAGGCAGCUUGCCAUAGGUGACCAGAUGAGGUGACCAGAAGCUGAGGUCCCAGCCAGGCUUGCACUGCCUAUCAGUGCUCCUCGCCCCCACUCCCAGACAAACACAAAACCAACACAAAUUCAUUUAUUUGUAAAUGUGCAUGUCUCCCACCCUAGGCUGCCCUGGAUUUUGGGCAGCAUCUGUGUGACUGUGGCAUGUGAGCUUGGGCUGGGGGGAGGAGGGGAGUAGGGGUCUUGAUGUGGUGGGGGUGCUGGCUCCACGAUGGUGCUGGUUUGAUUUAUCCCUACUGAGUUCUCAGCACUUGGUUGCUCCUGGCCUCCCAUGGCCCAACCCCCGACUCCACAACAGCCCCCAGAUCAGAACAAGCCAAUUUCCACACUGCACAGUCUCCUUCCCUUGCUGGAAGUCACAUUUCCCUGGAAGGGCUGAGGGCAGUGCCUUGCUCCCCAGCCUGGCCCGCUGCCACCUGCACAGACAGAGGCACCCCAUUUCCCCUCCAGAAGACCCAAGCACCCCCCUUCAAUCUCCAGGCACCUCCCCGCAGUUUGGCCCUGGGCCCUGCUGCCUGGAAAGAGUAGGAGAAGGUGCCGUCCAGGGACGAUGCUGACCGGAGGGGACCGGCCUUCCCUGCCACCUGCAGCUUUCUCCAGGGCGCUGGGUACCCAGCUCUGUUUGAGGGGCUUAGAGACUGGAGGUGGGCUGAUAGUGGCGUGUGCCCAUGUGGAAUGGGUAGGUCUCUGCCAUCAGAAGGUGAAGGUCUUGUGUGUUCCCAGGGCCCCAAGGAGCCAGAGCAAGAGAAGGUAGUGAGGAUACAAGAAGUCAGAGAGAAGGGGAUGGAGAAAGGGUGUUUUCUGAGCUGGGCCAUUCCCACAUCCUAGGGAGACAAAGGCAUCUCAAAUGGUGGUGGCAAAAGGAAUAAUUGCUUUGGACACAGCAGAAGAGGGACUGGGAUUAGAAAAUAAAAGAAGUGAAAAAAGGAAGGAGAAAGCGGUGAGAAAGGAGGUGGCCUCUGUGGGACAGGGACCAUGCCUUCAUCAGAAUCACAGUUAUGAUCAGCUCAGCUCAGUGACUGCUGUCAGAAGGUGACACGCAACCUGGGCACAGGAACAUCAGGCCUCCUUCAAGUGGGGGCUCUUCAUGACCCAAAGGCUGGAGAGGGAAGACUUAGGGCCAAGGGUGGAUCAGCACAGCACUCCUCCUCCAUGACCUGAUGCUGACCUGUGGGCCUGUCACCCAGGAUAGCUCGCCCAUUGGGAGUGGGUGGCAGUGCCCUAGGUGGCCCGUAACUGUCCCCACAAGCACAGCACCUGAGGCCUCUGCACAACUCUGGCCACAUCCAGACACUGGAGGCCUCAAGCAAGGGUGCAGAUUCGGCCUUAGGUCAGGGCUUAGGCUGCGGUCCCAGUCCUGUGAAUGACCUUGAAAAGGUCAUCUGUCAUUCUAUUUCCCCAA